rnacentral:rRNA from 1 species
UACAGAGGGUGCGAGCGUUAAUCGGAAUUACUGGGCGUAAAGCGUGCGCAGGCGGCUAUGCAAGACAGAUGUGAAAUCCCCGGGCUCAACCUGGGAACUGCAUUUGUGACUGCAUGGCUAGAGUGCGGCAGAGGGGGAUGGAAUUCCGCGUGUAGCAGUGAAAUGCGUAGAUAUGCGGAGGAACACCGAUGGCGAAGGCAAUCCCCUGGGCCUGCACUGACGCUCAUGCACGAAAGCGUGGGGAGCAAACAGG